rnacentral:rRNA from 1 species
GACGUAGGGCGCGAGCGUUGUCCGGAUUUAUUGGGCGUAAAGAGCUCGUAGGCGGUCUGUCGCGUCGGCUGUGAAAACCCGGGGCUCAACCCCAGGCCUGCAGUCGAUACGGGCAGACUAGAGUGAGGUAGGGGAGACUGGAAUUCCUGGUGUAGCGGUGAAAUGCGCAGAUAUCAGGAGGAACACCGGUGGCGAAGGCGGGUCUCUGGGCCGGAACUGACGCUGAGGAGCGAAAGCGUGGGGAGCGAACAGG